rnacentral:rRNA from 1 species
ACGCCUACGGCCACAUUGAAAACAACGGUUCUCGUCCGAUCACCGAAGUUGAGCAAUGUCGGGCCCGGUCAGUAUUUGGGAGGGUGACCACCUGGGAACACCGGAUGCUGUAGGCU